GACAGAGGAUGCAAACGUUGCUCGGAAUUACUGGGCGUAAAGCGCGCGCAGGCGGUCCGGUAAGUCGGGUGUGAAAUCCCGGGGCUCAACCUCGGAAGUGCACUCGAUACUGCUGGACUUGAGUACUGGAGAGGAGAGCGGAAUUCCCGGUGUAGAGGUGAAAUUCGUAGAUAUCGGGAGGAACACCAGUGGCGAAGGCGGCUCUCUGGACAGAUACUGACACUGAGGCGCGAAAGCGUGGGAAGCAAACAGG
rnacentral:rRNA from 1 species